rnacentral:lncRNA from 1 species
GGAAAAUGUUACGUUUACAUAGAGGAAAUUUAAACGUAAGAUACCAACCCCAUAGUCUUCUCUCUCAUUAGCAAUAAACAACCAUAAAUGCUAUCGCUGGCUCUCUAUGCGCUCUGCAAUAACUCCUCCAUCUUCUCUGCCUUUUCCCUUUCUCUUCUUCCUUCUUUAUCCCAUCACCAUCUCUCUCUCUCACAUUUUUUAUCUGCUUUUUUUUUUUCUUUCCCUUUCAUUUCCAUGUCCUCACUAUUCUUCUUAAAUUCUACUCACAAGAAAGGCGUCCUUAGCAAUAAACCUCAAAACCACUCUUCACAGUUCUAAACAAAUUCUGCUUUUUCAUCAACCCUUUGACUUCAAAACCAGAUCUGACCUGCUUUGCUUGUCUCUAACCGUAAAACCUGAAUAGGGUUUUAUAGGGUUUCUAUCCACUUUCAAGAACAGUAAGUCAAACGACCACACCCACACACACCUACACACACUUGUUAUACUGUUUGUUUAUUCUCACUUCAGUUCUCUAAAACCAGAUUUUCAGGUUUCACCUUGCGAAUAAUUAAGUUUAAUUUUCUGUGAUGAAUUUGGCAUUCUAAUAUUGCUUUAUCCCCUAUUUAUUCAUUUAUUUUGCAGGGAGAAAAGAGGAGAGUAAAACUCCACCGAAAUAUACGUGGGCGUUAAAUAAAAUGCCAGCUUGAAAAAUUUUCCAGCGUCAAAGGUUUCACACUGUGUCAAAUCCGUGUUGGUCUUUUAGUUCUUUAUUUGGCAUGUAAGGACAGAUGAAAGAAAGUCUUCUUUGAGAACCCACUAACCAGAAUUAAGUAAAUUCCAGUCUGUUGUUACAUGUAACCAUCCCAUUUGUUUUGUUCAGACACUGCCACAGAAUCUGUUGACCUCAACGCACUACCUUCUAAAAACCAAAACCAAAAUCAAAACCAAAAAGCUAGACCUCAAUUUAGAGGGAGAAAGAUAUAUAUAUAAAGAGAGAGAGAGAGAGAAGUUUCUAGGGUUUCAUGGUGAAGAUGUGCAGCUUCAAGGGCAUAGGAAGAAGUCUCGUGCCAAGAAUUUUCAGGCGAGUCUGAAAACCUAUAAAAAAGGUCAGUGAAUUUUGCAAACCUAAAAUUCCACUGAAUGCAAGAAGAAUUCAAGAUACAGAUAUAGAGUUACUCUUAUCAUACCAUUUUUUACAUUGUUAUUUCUCACAAUUUAAACAGAAUUCUGAUGAACAGUAUCAGGUUCCCACAAAAAUUAAUUUCGUUGUCAUGUUAAAAAGUGUUUAUGAUAUACUGUUUUGUGUCAAGAGUCAAACCAUUUCAAGAUCUGAUUAAACAAAGAAGUAGGGAAUAAAAGUACUUCCAAUGAAAUCAUUCUCGAUAUAAACGCUAAAGCACCUUUUUUCGUACAUUACACACUCUCAAAAGUCACAAGAUCUGAGCCUUAAUAGAAUUUUUUUAUUCCCUAAUCGCAUUUCCAGAUUCCAUAUGGCGCAAUCCUUUUUUUCUUGAUGUAUAGUUCUGCCAUGUCAAUUGUUGUAAACUAUAAUUAUUUCUUAAUUAUAUUAAUUUUUUGUUAAAAUUGUUUCGCUUAAUUUUUUUGUUUCAUCUUCUUGCAGCUGAUUGGAAAAUUUUAAGCUUGUCUCUCAUGUCAAUUGUUUUAAACUAUAAUUAUUUCUUAAUUAUAUUAAUCUUUUGUUAAAAUUGUUUCGCUUAAUUCUUUUGUUCAUCUUCUUGCAGCUGAUUGGAAAAUUUUAAGUUUGUUACUUAAGAACAUCAUGAUGUUUCAGCCAAACAUGUUUGAUAGCCACCAUUCCUUGCUGGACAUGAUCCAUAAAACACCAGAAAAUGAGAUGGACCUUAUUAAGGAUGAUGAAUUCGACAGCAAAUCGGUGACUGAUAUAAUGGAAGCACCUUCUGGUGAUGAUGGAGAUCCAAAUCCACGACCCAAAAAGAAGCGUUAUCAUCGCCAUACCCAGCAUCAAAUCACAGAAAUGGAAGCGUAAGUCAAGUGCCGGACAGAAUUAAAUAAUUAAGAGACAUUUAUUCAUUUUUUUCACGAAAUAUUUUCAUUUACAGUUUUUUUAAGGAAUGCCCUCACCCAGAUGAUAAACAAAGGAAAGAGCUUGGACGUCAAUUAGGAUUGGAGCCUUUACAAGUAAAAUUUUGGUUCCAAAACAAGCGUACUCAAAUGAAGGUAAUGUGUUUAUCUUUCAGAAUUCUUAGGCUUAAAAUUUUUACCAAUGAUUAUCACUCUAUUAGUAUAUUGAUGUGUUUAUAUAUGGGAAGUUUAACUUUGAUAGAAUUAAUAAUUUCAGUCUCAACAUGAGCGCCAUGAUAACACACAGCUGAGGAAUGAAAAUGAAAAGCUUCAUGCUGAGAACAUAAGGUAUAAAGAAGCUCUUACCAAUGCUACUUGUCCCAACUGUGGAGGACCAGCGGCCAUUGGCGAGAUGUCAUUUGAUGAGCAGCAUUUGAGGAUCGAGAAUGCUCGUUUAAGGGAAGAGGUAAUAAAAGAAGACUAGAGACAUUUGUAUUUGGAAUAUUUCUUCAUAAUAGGUGUUUAAAGGUUCUUGCUUCAAUAAGAUAUGCUUGUAUAAAUUUAUUAUAAUCAAUUUGUUAAAUUAUGUCUUUAAUAAUGAUUAAGAAAAUAAAUGAGACAUUAGGACUUUUAUCUUAAUAUGUAGUUUUUAACUUAUUUACAUGGGUAUCAUCUUUCUAGAUUGAUAGGAUUUCUGGAAUUGCAGCAAAGUAUGUUGGAAAACCUAUGCUUUCUUAUGCAAGUCUUUCUCCUGGAUCAUCUCGUUCACUUGAUCUUGGACCGGGAAAUUUUGGACCACAUACAGGCAUGGCAGGAGAGAUAUAUGGUGCAGCUGAUCUUCUUAGGUCAGUCUCCAGACCAACUGAUGCCAACAAGCCCAUGAUCAUUGAGUUGGCUGUUGCUUCAAUGGAGGAGUUAAUCCGAAUGGCCCGAACAGAAGAACCUUUAUGGAUACCUAGCAUGGACAAUAUAGAGACUUUGAGUGAAGAGGAAUAUGUCCGGAAUUUCCCUCGUGGGAUUGGGCCAAAACCCUUGGGAUUGAAAUCUGAGGCAUCUCGAGAGUCUGCUGUUGUGAUAAUGAAUCAUAUCAGCUUGGUUGAAAUUCUGAUGGAUGUGGUAGGAUUUCUAGAAUCCAUAUUUGGACAUAAGAGUGUAAUUUUUUUAUUCCGUUUUAAUCAGCAGUUUUGGUUUCUGUGAUUACAGAAUCAAUGGAGAAGCGUGUUCUCCAGCAUUGUCUCGAGAGCAAUGACUGUUGAAGUUUUAUCAACUGGAGUGGCAGGCAACUAUAAUGGAGCUUUACAAGUGGUAUGCAUACAAAUCAAUUUUCUUGGUGAUUGCUACUUUUCACUGAUUAAGAGCUGAUAUUUUCUCAGCAACUCUUAUAAAUUGUUAAUCCUAAUGCAUUAUCUUUAUAGAUGACCGCUGAGUUCCAGGUCCCUUCCCCAUUGGUUCCAACUCGCGAAGUCUAUUUUGCAAGAUAUUGCAAACAGCAUGGUGAUGGUACAUGGGCUGUGGUUGAUGUUUCUUUAGACAAUCUGAGAGAUGCCUCUAUAUCCCGGUGUAGACGAAGGCCAUCUGGUUGUUUGAUUCAAGAUUUGCCAAAUGGUUACUCAAAGGUAAAACCUAUUCUCAAGUUAAUAUGUCAAUUUAAAUAAAUAUAGGCCUAUAUAAUGCUAGUUGUGAAUAUGCUCCUAUUUAUCCUCAGGUAACAUGGGUGGAACAUGUUGAGGUAGAUGAUAGAGCUGUUAACAACAUCUACAAACCACUGGUCAAUUCUGGUCUCGCAUUUGGGGCAAGACGCUGGGUGGCGACGUUGGAUAGACAAUGUGAACGUCUUGCAAGUGUAAUGGCCAAUAACAUUUCAGCAGGAGAUGUUGGAGGUACUGACAUUUUACAAUUUUUACUUGAACUGAAAUUUUAGUUAACAGGAUUUCUUUAGCCUGUGCUAAUUUGUAUAGUUACUGUUGCAGUGAUAUCAUCUCCAGAAGGUAGAAAGAGUAUGUUGAAGCUGGCAGAAAGAAUGGUAAUGAGCUUCUGCACUGGUGUCGGUGCUUCAACUGCACACACAUGGACAACAAUGUCAGGAAGUGGAGCUGAUGAUGUUAGGGUUAUGACAAGAAAGAGUGUGGACGAUCCAGGCAGGCCUCCUGGUAUUGUGCUAAGUGCUGCUACUUCAUUUUGGCUCCCAGUUCAACCAAAAAGAGUUUUCGAUUUUCUUCGUGACGAGAAUUCAAGAAAUGAGGUAUGAAAUAUUUUUCUCGAGUCCUGAAACUUAUUUUCAGUCAAUCUUUGAUCUUAAAUUACCUCAGCAGCUACUAUGAUCAAAUAAAACAGUAAAAAUAAAUAGAUUCUUAUCUCGUGCUAAGAAACCAAAUAAUCAAUGGACAUUACAGAUAUGACCAAAAAACAAAAAUCCUUUAUAUAAGAUUAAACAAUAGCUUCUCUACUCUUUACAAUUUCAGCUGUUAUUGGAAUGUUACAAGGAUUCUUGAAAUGUCUUACCUAUAAAAAAUUACUCAUAAUUUAUCCUGUAUCACAAUUACAGUGGGAUAUUCUUUCUAAUGGGGGCCUUGUUCAAGAAAUGGCACACAUAGCAAAUGGCCGUGAUCCAGGCAAUUCUGUCUCAUUACUGCGUGUUAAUGUAAGUUGUUGAUUUAUAUAAGAAAUUUUACCUCAAAUGACUGGACUGUUCUUCAUAAGCUGUUGAAAAUGUAAUGUGCAGAGUGCGAAUUCUAGCCAAAGCAAUAUGCUGAUACUACAAGAGAGUUGCACUGAUUCAACAGGCUCCUAUGUUAUAUAUGCUCCAGUUGAUAUUGUUGCAAUGAAUGUGGUCUUAAGUGGUGGUGAUCCAGACUAUGUUGCCCUCUUACCAUCUGGUUUCGCUAUACUUCCUGAUGGACCUAUAAAUCUAGCCGGAGGGAUUAAUCCUGAGGUUGGUUCUGGUGGUUCGUUACUGACCGUCGCCUUUCAGAUAUUGGUAGAUUCAGUUCCAACAGCUAAACUUUCUCUGGGUUCAGUAGCAACUGUUAAUAGCCUGAUCAAGUGCACUGUUGAAAGGAUCAAGGGUUCUGUGCUGUGCGAAGGUUCAUGAGCCAAAGAUCUGCUUUCUGGUGAGUUUUUCUUUUUAAACUGAUUGACGGCUUAGACAGCUAAUGUAUCCUCCCUUAUGCCCUCUUGCUCCCUUUAGAGCUUUCCAUGCCUGAAAGAACGAAAUGUUUAUUUAGAAAAAUAAUGUCAUUUAGCACCACGGGAGAUCAACACCACUCACACUCUAGAUGGCACUGUGUGAUUGAUUCAACUAAAGGUAAAAUUAUAUGAACCGUUCAAAUUUACUUCUCAUUAAUCUCAUUUAGUGCUAUCUAGGCUGGUAUUGACAUCAAUGGUGUUAAAAAGAAUUAUUCUAGGCACCAAUGUGAUAAAUUUUAGAAGUAUACUCUGCACUCCAAACGAACCGAUACUCGAUUAGAAAACUAGUAGACUGAUACACAGACUUGAAAGUUUACAUUAUCAAAUCUGCUUCUAAUUAGUGUCACAACCAUCUGGUAAAUAUUUGAUCAACCACAAAUGAUGCGGUCCACAUUUUUUCGCCUAAAUCUUGACACUGUCGUUACAUAUUCUUAAUUAAAUACAGUUUCUUCAUUCUGACAUCUUUCUCUUGACUGUUUUAUGUUGCAGUUUAUACUUGAAAUGAAGAAUAAAUGAAAAUUAUUUAUUUGUUUACCGUAGGAUGUGAGAGAAAUGGAAAGAAGUCAAGAACGCACCUUGUAUAAUCCUUGCCGUGUCGAGUUAAUCAUCUUGGAUGAAGAAUGCAUCUUGAGUUUCACCAAUCAGCAAGGUUAAUAUAGGUUCGGGUAUUGACUAAGAAAAGACUCAGACUUAUCUUAAAAUCUUUUUACCAUUGUUUAAUUUGCAUCAAAGUUAGGGUUUUUAUUUUAUUUUAUUUUAUUUUUUUGUUUAGUAAUUAUUGUGUCUUUGGAGAAGUUAAGUUAGCAAACUGUGGAACCUCAAUUUGGCUCUUUAUAAGUGGUUUUCUUUUCAUGUGAAUUUUUGUUUCAGUAAUAUUCAGCUCUUUUCUUUUGAUGUGAACUUUUGUUUCAGUAAUAUUUAG